rnacentral:misc_RNA from 1 species
GAUGAAGAACGUAGCGAAAUGCGAUAAGUAAUGUGAAUUGCAGAAUUCAGUGAAUCAUCGAAUCUUUGAACGCACAUUGCGCCCGCCAGUAUUCUGGCGGGCAUGCCUGUUCGAGCGUCAUUUCAACCAUCAAGCCCCCGGCUUGUGUUGGGGACCUGCGGCUGCCGCAGGCCCUGAAAAGCAGUGGCGGGCUCGCUGUCACACCGAGCGUAGUAGCAUACAUCUCGCUCUGGGCGUGCUGCGGGUUCCGGCCGUUAAACCACCUUCAUAACCCAAGGUUGACCUCGGAUCAGGUAGGAAGACCCGCUGAACUUAAGCAUACCAAUAAGCGGAGGA